AAACGACUCUCGGCAACGGAUAUCUCGGCUCUCGCAUCGAUGAAGAACGUAGCGAAAUGCGAUACUUGGUGUGAAUUGCAGAAUCCCGUGAACCAUCGAGUCUUUGAACGCAAGUUGCGCCCCAAGCCUUCUGGCCGAGGCACGUCUGCCUGGGGUGUCAC
rnacentral:rRNA from 1 species